rnacentral:rRNA from 1 species
AACGAACGCUGGCGGCAGGCCUAACACAUGCAAGUCGAACGCUCCGCAAGGGGAGUGGCGCACGGGUGAGUAACACGUGGGAACCUACCUUCUGGUACGGAACAACCAAGGGAAACUCUGGCUGAUACCGUAUACGACCUCCGGGUGAAAGAUUGAUCGCCGGAAGAGGGGCCCGCGUCCGAUUAGGUAGUUGGUGAGGUAACGGCUCACCAAGCCUGCGAUCGGUAGCUGGUCUGAGAGGAUGACCAGCCACACUGGGACUGAGACACGGCCCAGACUCCUACGGGAGGCAGCAGUGGGGAAUAUUGGACAAUGGGCGCAAGCCUGAUCCAGCCAUGCCGCGUGAGUGAUGAAGGCCUUCGGUUGUAAG